GUCCAGGGAUGGGAAUCGAACCCACUGUGUUCCGCUUACCUGGGCAGAUGCCAUGUCCACUAGGCUACCCUGGA
rnacentral:tRNA from 1 species